AUUGAACGCUGGCGGCAUGCCUUACACAUGCAAGUCGAACGGCAGCACGGGUGCUUGCACCUGGUGGCGAGUGGCGAACGGGUGAGUAAUACAUCGGAACAUGUCCUGUAGUGGGGGAUAGCCCGGCGAAAGCCGGAUUAAUACCGCAUACGAUCCACGGAUGAAAGCGGGGGACCUUCGGGCCUCGCGCUGUAGGGUUGGCCGAUGGCGUAUUAGCUAGUUGGUGGGGUAAAGGCCUACCAAGGCGACGAUCGGUAGCUGGGCUGAGAGGCCGGUCACCCGCAUGGGGAGGGAGCCAGCGCCAAUGGUACUGCGGGACGGAGCAGUGUGGAAUUGGAGGCAAUGGUGGAGAGUAUUAUCCAGCGAGGGCGAGUCUGAUACGACGGCGCUCGGGUUGGGAAGAACGCCUGUGCGGAGAGAACCGCUUGGCUCUGAGACGGAGCGGGAAUGACGGUACCGGGAGAAGAAGCACCGGCUAACUACGUG
rnacentral:rRNA from 1 species